rnacentral:rRNA from 1 species
UACGUAGGCAGCGAGCGUUGUUCGGAAUUACUGGGCGUAAAGAGUGUGUAGGCGGCGCUCUAAGUUCGGUGUGAAAUCUCUCGGCUUAACUGGGAGGGUGCGCCGGAAACUGGAGUGCUCGAACGUGGGGGAGGAAAGCGGAAUUCCUGGUGUAGCGGUGAAAUGCGUAGAUAUCAGGAGGAACACCUGCGGUGUAGACGGCUUUCUGGACCAUUGUUGACGCUGAGACACGAAAGCGUGGGUAGCAAACAGG